rnacentral:lncRNA from 1 species
GGACCCAGCAUGGAGACUGGCUGUGCUCAUGGAAUCUGGGCAGCAAGAGCAGCAGCUCCCAGAGGGGCUGGCUGGCAACCCUUUGUAUCAGCUUAGGAAUUUUCAUGUUGGUCAGGAGCAGAGACACGGUCCCAGUUCUGGCUGGCCUGGAGCUUGCAGGUUGAGAUAAGCCUGUGUCUGGCUGCACUGUAAAAAUAACACGGAGAGUAGGAUGGGUCUUGUCCUUGGGCUCUAGAAGAGCUACUGCAUGGAAGAAAGAGGUAGAAGGCGGGUGUCUAACAAGUGACAUCAGCGGAACUCAAGAGGACUGAAUGUCACCUCCAUUCCCCAGUCUCCCACCAUUACCUGGGGAGCAGGGCAGAGGGAAGACAGAGUAGGAGCAUUCCAGGAUAAGCUUCACACUCCCAGAAUGUGGAAUGCUCACCAAGGAAGAACAAGAGCCCUGUUCACAUCAUGAUAUUCCGCCCUCUUAAUUCCCUAACAGGGCUCCCAGGCUCCACAGCAGCUUUGAUAACAGCAGUGCACUCCCUCUCCUCUAGAAAGUUAGGUGGCUUUAAAAUAGGUAAGGCUCAUUUCAUUGCUUCUGUGAGUUCUGAUGAAAGGGGCAUUUGGCGAAAAACGUGUGUGGGUUGGCAUGCAACGAAUGCUUAUUUACCUGGGUGUUUGGAAGACAGUGACACGGAAUCAACAUUUAACCCACAAGUUUUCUUCUGCUUUUCUCCUUCUUUGAGAAGUCGAGAUGGGAAACUGUCUCUACGGCUCUUAUUUUCUCACUCUGAUAACAAUCUUUUCCAUUAGUAGAGUGCAGUAUAAGGUACAGUGCACUUGGGAAAUGCCUCUUGGGAAGGUGACAUGUAAAAAUAGUGGUCAAUGCCACUUCUGGGCAGGUGCCAAGGCCUGUAGCAGCCUGUGUCUUUGGGUCCUGCAUGCUUUCCUUUGUGUUGGCUGGUUCCUCUCGCUGAGUUCACUGUUGGUCUGUCUCUGACAAUUACGGAGAAGCAUGGCAGUCACAGCUUCCCUGAGUUCUACUGGACUCAUGAACUUUGUUCAUAACAGACUUUACAAGUGGUACAGGAUUCCUGUGGCCACAGCUCAACUCAACUCAGUAGCAAUCAGUGUUUAUGGAUCAUUGGAGCUAAAAGAAAACUUGCAGAUCAGAUCAUCUCAUCCAAUUCCCUGACUUUACAGAAAGAGGAAACUGAGGCACAGUAAGAUUUUUUUUUUUUUUUUUUGCCCAGGUCUGAAUAAAAUUGAAGCCACCCUUACCAUAGUCAGGAUUCUUCGUAUACACCACUGGUUGACCAGUGGUAGCUAAAAAAAAAAAAAAAA